rnacentral:tRNA from 1 species
CCGGAUAUAGCUUAGUUUGGUAAAGCAGACCGUUUGGGGCGGUAAGAGCGGGAGUUCAAAUCUCUCUAUCCGGAC